rnacentral:rRNA from 1 species
UGAGGAAUAUUGGUCAAUGGACGAGAGUCUGAACCAGCCAAGUAGCGUGAAGGAUGAAGGUCCUACGGAUUGUAAACUUCUUUUAUAAGGGAAUAAACCCUCCCACGUGUGGGAGCUUGUAUGUACCUUAUGAAUAAGCAUCGGCUAACUCCGUGCCAGCAGCCGCGGUAAUACGGAGGAUGCGAGCGUUAUCCGGAUUUAUUGGGUUUAAAGGGAGCGCAGACGGGUCGUUAAGUCAGCUGUGAAAGUUUGGGGCUCAACCUUAAAAUUGCAGUUGAUACUGGCGUCCUUGAGUGCGGUUGAGGUGUGCGGAAUUCGUGGUGUAGCGGUGAAAUGCUUAGAUAUCACGAAGAACUCCGAUUGCGAAGGCAGCACACUAAUCCGUAACUGACGUUCAUGCUCGAAAGUGUGGGUAUCAAACAGGAUUAGAUACCCUGGUAGUCCACACGGUAAACGAUGGAUACUCGCUGUUGGCGAUAUACUGUCAGCGGCUUAGCGAAAGCGUUAAGUAUCCCACCUGGGGAGUACGCCGGCAACGGUGAAACUCAAAGGAAUUGACGGGGGCCCGCACAAGCGGAGGAACAUGUGGUUUAAUUCGAUGAUACGCGAGGAACCUUACCCGGGCUUAAAUUGCAGACGAAUUACGAGGAAACUUGUAAGCCGCAAGGCGUCUGUGAAGGUGCUGCAUGGUUGUCGUCAGCUCGUGCCGUGAGGUGUCGGCUUAAGUGCCAUAACGAGCGCAACCCUCGUGGUCAGUUACUAACAGGUUAAGCUGAGGACUCUGGCCAGACUGCCAUCGUAAGAUGUGAGGAAGGUGGGGAUGACGUCAAAUCAGCACGGCCCUUACGUCCGGGGCUACACACGUGUUACAAUGGGAGGUACAGAAGGCAGCUACCCGGCGACGGGAUGCCAAUCCCCAAAACCUCUCUCAGUUCGGACUGGAGUCUGCAACCCGACUCCACGAAGCUGGAUUCGCUAGUAAUCGCGCAUCAGCCACGGCGCGGUGAAUACGUUCCC